GGUGUUUGAGCCUGUUGUCGGGACCGGCCUGUUCCACAUGACUCCUGCGUAGGUGGUAAUAGAGGUUAGUGGUGUUUGAGCCUGUUGCCGGGACCGGCCUGUUCCACAUGACUCCUGCGUAGGUGGUAAUAGAGGUUAGUGGUGUUUGAGCCUGUUGUCGGGACCGGCCUGUUCCACAUGACUCCUGCGUAGGUGGUAAUAGAGGUUAGUGGUGUUUGAGCCUGUUGCCGGGACCGGCCUGUUCCACAUGACUCCUGCGUAGGUGGUAAUAGAGGUUAGUGGUGUUUGAGCCUGUUGUCGGGACCGGCCUGUUCCACAUGACUGCUGCGUAGGUGGUAAUAGAGGUUAGUGGUGUUUGAGCCUGUUGCCUGGACCGGCCUGUUCCACAUGACUCCUGCGUAGGUGGUAAUAGAGGUUAGUGGUGUUUGAGCCUGUUGCCUGGACCGGCCUGUUCCACAUGACUCCUGCGUAGGUGGUAAUAGAGGUUAGUGGUGUUUGAGCCUGUUGCCUGGACCGGCCUGUUCCACAUGACUCCUGCGUAGGUGGUAAUAGAGGUUAGUGGUGUUUGAGCCUGUUGCCGGGACCGGCCUGUUCCACAUGACUCCUGCGUAGGUGGUAAUAGAGGUUAGUGGUGUUUGAGCCUGUUGUCGGGACCGGCCUGUUCCACAUGACUCCUGCGUAGGUGGUAAUAGAGGUUAGUGGUGUUUGAGCCUGUUGUCGGGACCGGCCUGUUCCACAUGACUCCUGCGUAGGUGGUAAUAGAGGUUAGUGGUGUUUGAGCCUGUUGCCUGGACCGGCCUGUUCCACAUGACUCCUGCGUAGGUGGUAAUAGAGGUUAGUGGUGUUUGAGCCUGUUGCCUGGACCGGCCUGUUCCACAUGACUCCUGCGUAGGUGGUAAUAGAGGUUAGUGGUGUUUGAGCCUGUUGCCUGGACCGGCCUGUUCCACAUGACUCCUGCGUAGGUGGUAAUAGAGGUUAGUGGUGUUUGAGCCUGUUGCCUGGACCGGCCUGUUCCACAUGACUCCUGCGUAGGUGGUAAUAGAGGUUAGUGGUGUUUGAGCCUGUUGCCGGGACCGGCCUGUUCCACAUGACUCCUGCGUAGGUGGUAAUAGAGGUUAGUGGUGUUUGAGCCUGUUGUCGGGACCGGCCUGUUCCACAUGACUCCUGCGUAGGUGGUAAUAGAGGUUAGUGGUGUUUGAGCCUGUUGCCGGGACCGGCCUGUUCCACAUGACUCCUGCGUAGGUGGUAAUAGAGGUUAGUGGUGUUUGAGCCUGUUGUCGGGACCGGCCUGUUCCACAUGACUCCUGCGUAGGUGGUAAUAGAGGUUAGUGGUGUUUGAGCCUGUUGCCGGGACCGGCCUGUUCCACAUGACUCCUGCGUAGGUGGUAAUAGAGGUUAGUGGUGUUUGAGCCUGUUGUCGGGACCGGCCUGUUCCACAUGACUCCUGCGUAGGUGGUAAUAGAGGUUAGUGGUGUUUGAGCCUGUUGUCGGGACCGGCCUGUUCCACAUGACUCCUGCGUAGGUGGUAAUAGAGGUUAGUGGUGUUUGAGCCUGUUGUCGGGACCGGCCUGCUGGAUAUGUUGCAGAGGGCGGUUUUCUGGUCGGUGUCAGACUGUUCAUACCCAAACCACGUCCACGCGACCGAAGUUGCCCCUCUUUUAGGUACGGUCUCCGUGCUCUGUGUCACGUUCACUCUUCCACAUGUGCAAGAACGCGUCGUUCAAUCGCCGGAAAGAGAAAGAGUACGAUUUGCUGCACAACAAAAUAAACGAUAGAGCAUAAUAUGAAACGAUAAACGUUUAUCUAUCGUCACACUAUAUAUAUCGUCAUAUCGCCCGGCCCUAAUAUACAAUAGUAUCAGGUGUCCAGGCAUGGAGAAGACGAUCAGGAGGUCUGUCUCUCAGUGGGAGAAUAUGUCAGUACAUUUCAGUAGAUAGCCCUCUCUGAACCUAGUAACUGAUGGGGGUUAAGAAAUAACCAUCAUGAGUCAGGAGAACUGACAUUCUGUCAGCAGGCUAGUAAGCCAUCUGUCCUCUAGGCACACGUGUGUGUGUGUGUGUGUGUGUGUGUGUGUGUGUGUGUGUGUGUGUGUGUGUGUGUGUGUGUGUGUGUGUGUGUGUGUGUGUGUGUGUGUGUGUGUGUGUGUGUGUGUGUGUGUGUGUGUGUGUGUGUGUGUGUGUGUGUGUCCCUGACUCAGCAUGUCCCUGACUCAGCAGAAACAGGGGGAUAUAUCAAGAGGAGAGUGACAGCCAACAAAGCAAGCCUUCUUCUCUCUCUCACUGUUUUUCAUUGUUAGGGACAAAUCCCAUCUUGAAAACUGCUGACGUUCACGUAAAUCAUGCAUAGUCAAUGGGAGAUUUUACCCAAACAUAGUCAAUGGGAGAUUUUACCCAAACAUAGUCAAUGGGAGAUUUUACCCAAACAUAGUCAAUGGGAGAUUUUACCCAAACAUAGUCAAUGGGAGAUUUUACCCAAACAUAGUCAAUGGGAGAUUUUACCCAAACAUAGUCAAUGGGAGAUUUUACCCAAACAUAGUCAAUGGGAGAUUUU